rnacentral:rRNA from 1 species
CGUCAAAGCUUAAUUUAACUUAUUUUACAAUUCCUCAAGCCCUUCAGAACCCCUCAAUAGUACUAAAUAAUCCUAUACUUCUAUAGGACUCUUUAUGCUAAAACUAGUAACAAGAAGAACCUUCUCCUAUAUGCAAAUCUAAAUCAGACCAGAAGAUCUACUGAUCAUUAACAACUUUAAACCCCAGUACUAAAUUGAUUAAAAAAAUUUACUAUUUUAGCUGUUAACCUUACACAAGAGCAUAAAAAGAAAGAUUAUAAGAAAAAGAAGGAACUCGGCAAAAUAUGAUUCCGCCUGUUUACCAAAAACAUCGCCUCCUGCUAACCUAUAGGAGGUCCAGCCUGCCCGGUGACCUAGUUUAACGGCCGCGGUAUCCUAACCGUGCGAAGGUAGCGUAAUCACCUGUUUUUUAAUUGAAGACCUGUAUGAAUGGCAUCACGAGAAUCAUACUGUCUCCUUUUUCUAAUCAGUGAAACUAAUCUUCCCGUGAAAAAGCGGGGACACAAAUACAAGACGAGAAGACCCUUUGGAGCUUUAGACAAAGUAACGUUUCGCAUAUCUAUCAUCCACCUACUUCCCAAAGCAUUUACAUUACAAGUCUUCGGUUGGGGCAACCGCGGAGUAAAAAUUACCCUCCAAGUUGAAUGGAAUUUUCCUAAACAAAAAGACACAACUUUACGUAUCAUAAAAAUGACAAGCAUGACCCAAUAUUUUGAUUAUCGAACCAAGUUACCCUAGGGAUAACAGCGCAAUCCACUUCGAGAGUUCAUAUCGACAAGUGGCUUACGACCUCG